GUUUUUGCUUCCACCCCCGCCAGACGAGGAGUGGGACCUCAUGUCGUCCGGAACCCGGGCAGUGGAAGGUGAUGAGGACUCCAAAGGUUGGGCUGAGAGAUGUCCCCGACCCGCCCCACCAGCUGAGACACAAGAGAAAACAAGAUCAAGCGCUCAAUUCUUUUAUGUCCAGGAAUGAGAUCAGAAAUGGGGCCUAAAAUGGUGGUUCGAAGCCUUCGAGAUCCCUUGGACCAGCUGCAUUUCUCCUCAAAUUAUAGAGCCAACACUAAAUAGACAUCUUUUUAAUUUUGCUUAGUUGUCAAUUUAUUUUAAAAAGUCGUCACUUGAUGACAUUUUAACGCCCCAAAGUAGGAAGACUGUAACUGCUCAUGUCAGAAUAAAGGAUACUAACAGAAAUUGUUUGCUAUUACCCUUUUAUCAUUUGGUGUGGGAGUGAAAACUUGUCAUUGGCUAGCUGUGGACCCGGGGCAAACGUAUCCACACUGCCCUCUAGAGACUAAAAGGUUGAGUUACAACCUUACUUUAAGUGAAGAUCAUUUCCCCUGCCUUUCUGCUUUCCUAAACUGGAACUAGAAGAGCUUUUUACUAGGAAUGAAGAAGCCGUGGGGGAGUCCUAAGAGAUAUACAGUAAGGGGAAUUGACAGUGAAAAGGUGAUUUUGGCUCUAAGGUUUUUGGAAAAAGAAAGAUUCCCAACUCAACUGUGUACAGUUAAAUCAUCGGAGAGGCCUGACGCCCAACCUAUCCUACCCAGGAUACAGAAGUCAGUUAAGGACUGUCUGAAGCCAUGGGAUGAGACUUCUGCCCAAUAACAGUGUCACCCUACAUAAAGCCACACACAUGCUUUAUAUAAUUGACGUUUAAAUCUCAAAUUUUCUUCAUUUUACAGAAGAAUCUGAGGCAGAAAGCAACUAAGUAACUUGAUCAAGACCACAGCUGGUAAAUUGUCAGAGAUGGGACUGAAUUCCAGGCUCUGUCUUUCCUGUCCUGCAGAUUCUUUGGAAUUCAAAACUCCUCCUGCAACCAUACCUAAUCUUUUCUCUGUAUCAUGCCCCCCCACCCACUUCCACUUAGACUUUGAGGGACUGAAGGCUUCAAGGACAGCAAGAAACGAGCAGAAUUUCCUGCUGAAAUUUUCCUGUUGGGGUAGAAGCCACAUGAUCAAUCAAUAAUGUUAACUCAGUGAUGUUUAAAAAACUUUCUUAGGUCACGGACCCCUUUGAGAUACUAAUUAAGGCAGUGGGCCCUCUCCCUAGAAAGCUGCACAUAGAUAUUUGCAUAAUACUUCAAAGUAUUCACAAAUACCACCUCUCCCUCCAAUCUCAUCAAUUGUCUGCCCAGAGGUCCACAGACCACCACCCCCUUCCAUGUUAGGAUGGCCUAAAAAAAUUAGCUAGGAACAGAUUUGGUGAGCUCUCUAGUGGCCUGGGAACAGGAGUGAUUAAACAGCAAUAAAGGGCCUAUUUUCCAAAUUGGGUUAUCUCACUAUUCAAGAAAAUAUUAAUGAGAAUAAGGAGGUACCAGGAUGCAAGGGAGGGUGUGUUUCUGAUUCAAUAAAACAUUACUGGGUUGCCUUCCAAAUUUCUAGUAACAGAGAAGUAGCAAAAAAAAAAAAAGCAACACUCCAAUACACUUUUUUUUUCUCCUUUUUUACUUACAUUAAAUACAUUGGUAAAUCAGCAGUCGCAUUCUGUUACCACGAUUGUUAUGUUGGGAGAGGAAGAAAGGGGAAAAAAGGCAAA